rnacentral:rRNA from 1 species
AACGAACGCUGGCGGCAUGCCUAACACAUGCAAGUCGAACGAGACCUUCGGGUCUAGUGGCGCACGGGUGCGUAACGCGUGGGAACCUGCCCUUAGGUUCGGAAUAACUCCCCGAAAGGGGUGCUAAUACCGGAUAAUGUCUUCGGACCAAAGAUUUAUCGCCUUUGGAUGGGCCCGCGUUGGAUUAGCUAGUUGGUAGGGUAAAAGCCUACCAAGGCGACGAUCCAUAGCUGGUCUGAGAGGAUGAUCAGCCACACUGGGACUGAGACACAGCCCAGACUCCUACGGAAGGCAGCAGUGGGGAAUAUUGGACAAUGGGCGAAAGCCUAAUCCAGCAAUGCCGCGUGAGAGAGGAAGGCCUUAGGGUUGUAAAGCUCUUUUACCCGGGAUGAUAAUGACAGUACCGGGAGAAUAAGCGCCGGCUAACUCCGUG